AAGAGAGACAACUCAUCAAAGAUGAGAUUACACUUUUGUUUUUUUGUUUGUUUUUGAUUUGUUAGAAUAAAGAUUACAACCAUUACACUUAUCAAUCAACCAAAGUUCAGAGGCCUUUCUCUUAGCUGUCAUGGUAGUUGUGUUUCUCUUCGUUUAAGGUCGCAACAUUCUCUUGUUUUCUUGCCAGAUUGCGGGUUCUUCCUUAUCGGAUCAGGGCGUUGGUUUGAUUUCGUGCUUGGAUCUUGUUGCUUCCUCUUUGGUAACCCUUUGCUGGAGGCCUGCUAAAAGGUAUGCUAUGAGGCCUAUUCAUUUUUAUUCAGCGAAAGUUGCAUGACUUUGGCCCACCAACUUCGAAGCUCAAACCAAGGCUUAGAGGACCAUCUCAUUUAACUCCAACCUGUCUGAGGCCUGAACAGAAAUCUCUCCAAAGUGUUUCUUCCAUACAGGCGACCCAGGUCUGAAAAUAUCUUGUCUCCUUAAUUACCUAUGCAUGCAUCAUCCACACGCUGAUGUCACAAACACGUCAUCCGACACGAUAUGUCACUACCAACAUCUAGAAAUUGUAGUCACUGUUAGCAUCAAAUGACCGAUUUACCCCUGCUCCAACUUAACAAUGUGAGAUUUUUUUUUCCUGUGUCUAUAAAUAGAGCCACAUGCCUUCAAGCUCAGGACCUUCGUCAAAUUUAAUCAACCCAAGUGUUUUUCAGUGAAAGCCCAAUUGCUCUUCAGCAAAACUCUUUAGCUUUUCAACUACAAUCUCAAGCCUUCUUUCGAAGCAAACAUUGCCUACGAUCUUUGUGAUCCAAAACCUUACAGCUCAGUCACCCUGUGGCAGAUUAAAUGUGUUAGCAACGGUUGUCCCUACCUGUGUAAUGGCUAAUCUUAAACCUCCUAACCGUAUUAACAAUAAAGAUUGAAGCUGUCCGGUUAAGACCUACUUGUUGGCCGAAGAUCUUUAGGACGUCGUCGAAGGCACCAAUGAACCUACGGAUGUAAAUUUUUUUAUGGACGUUUCCAAAAGAGGCAAAGCUCCUAAAACAGAUGAAGAAAAAAAAGAUGAACGUAAGGCUUGGAGGAAGAAGGAUGCCAGGGCCUUAUAUGCAAUCCAGAGUUUUCGCGGGGACGAUACUUGUAAGUUUAUCAAAAGCGCAAUCACGGCGAAAGAAGCAUGAGAUAUUUUGUCAAAUAAAUUGAUGCCACAUUAUAGUCAACCAUCAGACAGAACAAGAACAGGUACGUACAUAUUGCUGAUAGUGAAUUCCACAUCAAGGAAAGGAGGGACCUUGCUUGUACUUAUAAGUAAUUGAGCUACUCCAAUAUUGCCAAUCAGAGAAAAGAGGGACAUUGCUUGUGCUUUUUAGUAGCUGUGUUACCUUCUCAUUUACCAAUUGGUUUUACAGUGGAAUCCUAACUUUCUAUGGCAAUGGUCACACAUGCUCCACGUCAUCCGAUUUGUGUUGUCCACAUGUUAAGCUUGAAAUUUCGUCACACAUGAGGGAGCGUAUUGAGAGUGAAUCCCACAUUGGAGAAAAGAGGGACCUUACUUGUGCUUAUUAGUAGUAGGCGUAUUACCUUCUCAUUUACCAAUUAGUUUUACGAUGCUGAACUUCUCACACACAUAGGCAUUUGUAAGAAAGGAAAAGAAAGGAAAAAUUAAGAAUUGAUGGUAAUAUCUGAACAUCAAGAUUUCCAUUUUCAGAUGAGAGGUCACUUCUUCAAGCGUAUCCAGCCCCGAUUGAUCAUGAUGAUGGGCCAACCCCAACUGAUCGUGAAGCUAGGCCAGAGCUCGCAAUGGAAGAAGGGCUCAAUGCAGGUAGACAUGAGAGCAAUGCAAACGAUAUCUAUGCAACUUUCGUCAAAUAUGUGAAGUCUAGUGAUUGGGAUAAAGCGAUCCAGUUUCUUCGCGACCAUCCCCAGGUAGGAAGUGAAAGAAUUUCAAGUGGCGGUACAGUUCUUCACUAUGCAGUCCGGCCGCUUAACAACUGCAGCGUGCGCAAUAUAGAACAGUCAAAACAGGGUUGAAGUAGCCAAACGCAUGGUUGAAAAGAAUGACAAAUUACUUAGUAUUUUACCUUCCGGCACUGACACCUCCAGUUGUCUUCGCUCAGAGUUUGUCAAAUGAGGAAAUAAUGGCUCGUUAUCUCUAUUCUGUUACUCCACGCGAAACACUGCACGUUACCGAUGCCUCUCAACUGAUUUCUCUCGGCCUUCGUUAUAAACGAUUUGGUAAGAGAGGGAAUCGACUGAGUUUCAAACAUGACCAAUUAUUAAUGUCGACGCCCUAGCUAUAUCUUCUUUUGCCCGUGUGUGAUCUUUUUGGUUACAUAUUUUAUCUGCAUACUUACACUGUCGUUUUUCACAUUUCUAUUAUAUAUGAGAUUUGAUUUAGCGCUACCCAUAACUAGCCAUGGCUAAAGAUCACGACGGAGAAUUCCCCUUGAUAACAUUGGCCAGUGAUUGUUCAACAUUCAAAAGUGGAAGCCGACUCAAUUUCUGGGAAAAGAUUUAUUACGGUUCUAGUUAGAAGCAGCUUUGGUGGUUCACGAUGACUUGUCGGUGGUUUUGAUAGAACAUCACAAAUGUAGGAUCACAUUUGGGUGUUGUGUAAUUAGUAUUCUUCUUCUGGACUGCACUUAGGUUUUCUGUGCUCUGAUUAUGUUUAUCACAUUUAGUCUCGCAUUAGUGUGUUACUUUAAUUAGUUUAUUUAGUAGCUUGGUUUUUAUUUAUUUGUACUUUUAUUAUUAUCUUUUGCUUCCGCACUGUACACAUGGUUACGUCACCCUCACGUGGCGGACCAGCACGCCUUGAUUCCGGUUAGGGUGUGUCAGUUUGGUAUCAAAGCAUAGGUUUGGUGGUCUUGCAUAUUUUGUGAGUGUUCUAAUUAUUUUGGUGUCUUCUGUCAGAACUAUGCCGCCUUGUAGGGAACCACAUCGCUCUGCUGAGCCUAGUUUCCCCGAUGUAACUCAAUUAGGGGAAGCUAUUGUUACCGCUAUUCAGUCUGCGCUCCGCUCUCCCCAAUUCUUGAGACCAUGUAUAAUUUGAAGCUGGAUAAGUUUAAGUGCCACGAGGGUUUUGAGGGAGCUGAGCAGUAGCUGGAGCAUCUUAAAAAGACUUUUAGAGUGUUGCAUAAUCAGGGGAAUCUUCCUGUUGAAAAGUGGGUAGAGACGACUUCAUGGUUCUUGGGUAAGGAAUCAUCAUCCUGGUGGGAACAUGAGGUUGGUAGUUUGACCCCAGAGGAAAGGGCUGACUGGGAGAUGUUUAAACAUUUGUUUCGGAAAAAGUUUGUGCCUCAUGAGUACAUUGAUCGUAAGAAGCAAGAAUUUACUGAGUUGAGGUAAGGGAAGUUGACGGCGAAUGAAUAUUAUAAGAGGUUCACUGAUUUAUCUCGUUAUUAUUCGGAGGUUGCUGCCAAUCCGGGUGAGAUGCUUCGUCGUUUUUUAUUGGGUACUAAGAAAAAGUGGCGUUCUAUGUCGACCACUACUCCUUGCGACUCUUAUCAGGAGUUCUAUGAGAUUUUGUUAAGGAUUGAGAAUUCUGAGAACAUGCCUAGUGAGAGUGAAGAAGAGGAAAAAUAUGGCAAUCAGAGGAAAGACGAUAAAGGUAAAGGUCAAGCAUCUCUAGGACUUCGCAAGACCUAGAGUUUUAAGCGAGGUGGGACUAGUUCCAGUUCUUCCAGCGAAGGUUUUAGUGCCACUGGUCAGGGAAGAGGUGGUAGAUUUUCUGGGGUUCCUAGAGGCCAGAGACAGGGCAAUACUGGUAGAGGAAGAGCUCCGUUGUGCCACAGGUGUAACAAUCGGCAUUUUGGAGAGUGUAGGAGAGGCAACAGUGGUUGUUUCACUUGUGGGAAAAUGGGACAUAGAGCUGCAAAUUGUCCUCAGAAUCAACAGAAGCCUCAGCAAUCUUUCUUACCACCAUCUGUGCCGAUCCAGCAAGUUCCAGGGCCUGGUAGUUAUGGUCAGAUGAGUCGUGGUGGUGCCUACUAUUAUUAGGGUGAUGCUGUUCCUUAUGCUUUAGGACAGUAUCCGUAUCCCCAGGAUCCUUAUUCUCAAUGUGGGUAUCCUCAGUACUCCGGAGGUUAUAUGUCGUAUCCUCCCAUUCCAGCAGGUGGAUCUCAGUGGUACCAGGGAGGAUAGCUUCAGCAGAGAGAGAUUGCUACUAAUAGUGUGGGAUCUUCAAGGCAGUCUGGUUAGCCUAGUCAGGGGCGUAAUGUGCAGAGUCGAGGUGGUCAGACUAGUAGAGGUCAUGGUGGACGACAGCAGACCAAGGGGCGUAUCCACAAUAUUUCUCUGCAGGAUGCUUAGAAUAAUCCUGACUUAAUUAUGGGUACGUUAAAUAUCCUUAGUUAUUUUGCUAGAGUAUUGAUUGAUUGUGAUGCGACACA